rnacentral:rRNA from 1 species
GGGUGAGUAACGCGUAUGUAAUCUGCCCUGGUAACAGACGGGGAUAACCCGGAGAAAUCCGGCCUAAUACCUCAUAGCACAUAUUAUUCGCAUGAGUUUUAUGUUAAAGAGACUCGGUUUACAGAUGAACAUGCGUUCCAUUAGCUGGUUGGCGGGGUAACGGCCCACCAAGGCAACGAUGGAUAGGGGUUCUGAGAGGAAGGUCCCCCACACUGGUACUGAGACACGGACCAGACUCCUACGGGAGGCAGCAGUGAGGAAUAUUGGUCAAUGGGCGAGAGCCUGAACCAGCCAAGUCGCGUGGAGGAAGACGGCCCUACGGGUUGUAAACUCCCUUUUUACCUGGGAAUAACGGGCGCUACGCGUAGCGCUGUGCAUGUACCGGGAGAAUAAGCAUCGGCUAAUUCCGUG